AGAGUGAACAUCAUUGAGUGCAGCGUUGAUGUAAAUUCCGUUUUUCUUUUCUACCGUUGAAUGGAUUAAAACAAUUUAUACCAAUACCAGCGUUGCGCUCAAUUAUGUUUUUC
rnacentral:pre_miRNA from 2 species